rnacentral:rRNA from 1 species
GACGAACGCUGGCGGCGUGGAUUAGGCAUGCAAGUCGAACGGUAGGAUACCUUCGGGUAUCUGAGAGUGGCGAACGGGUGAGUAACACGUAGGUGAUCUACCCUCAAGAUUGGGACAACCCAGGGAAACUUGGGCUAAUACCGGAUGAAAGCAGCAGUGAUGUUGUUUGAAAGGUGGCGUAAGCUGCCGUUUGGGGAUGAGCCUGCGCUCUAUUAGUUAGUUGGCGGGGUAAAGGCCCACCAAGGCGAUGAUAGAUAGGCGGCCUUAACGGGUGGUCGCCCACACUGGGAUUGAGAUACGGCCCAGACUCCUACGGGAGGCAGCAGUCGAGAAUGUCUACAAUGGCCGAAAGGCUGAUAGUGCGACGCCGCGUGAACGAAGAAGCCCUUCGGGGUGUAAAGUUCUUUUAUAUGUGAGCAGUGCUUUCUAUGUGAACAGCAUGGGGAGAGAGAUAUUAGCAUAUGAAUAAGCAACGGCUAACUCCGUG